CGGGCUAUAGCGCAGCUGGCUAGCGUACUUGCAUGGGGUGCAAGGGGUCCCCGGUUCGAGUCCGGGUAGCCCGACCA
rnacentral:tRNA from 1 species